rnacentral:lncRNA from 1 species
CUCGACAUGAAAAAUGAGGGAGGAGGGCCUCCUCCAUCGGUGACGACGGUGCACUGCCUGAGAUGGCAAUGCCCCAGCCGACACGCUGUAGGCUAGCCUGCAGGCACACAGGCCUCCUACCGCACGCGAAGGACCUAUUUUCACAUCAUGCGCGCUGUGGGCACGUCUGGUGCACAAGGAGGGGACGUGCGUGUUGUGGGCUCGUCUUGUGCAUGCGUGCACGCGCGUGGAUGGGACGUGUGUGCUGUGCGCACGUCUCGCAGCUAUUGUACAUGCAUGCACGUGCACACAGUGCGCACAUCUUGCAGCUAUUGUGCGCGCGUGCGCACAAUGCAUGACAU